GAUGAACGCUGGCGGCGUGCCUAAUACAUGCAAGUCGAGCGAACGGACGAGAAGCUUGCUUUUCUGAUGUUAGCGGCGGACGGUUGAGUAACACGUGGAUAACCUACCUAUAAGACUGGGAUAACUUCGGGAAACCGGAGCUAAUACCGGAUAAUAUUUUGAACCGCAUGGUUCAAAAGUGAAAGACGGUCUUGCUGUCACUUAUAGAUGGAUCCGCGCUGCAUUAGCUAGUUGGUAAGGUAACGGCUUACCAAGGCAACGAUGCAUAGCCGCCCUGAGAGGGUGAUCGGACAGCCUGGAACUGAGACACGGCACAGACUCCUACGCGAGGAAGCAGUAGGGAAUCUUACGCGAAGGGCGAGAGCCUGACGGAGCACCGCCGCGUGAGUGAUGAAGGUCUUAGGCUCGUAGAACUAUGUUAUUAGGGAAGAACAUAUGUGCAAGUAACUGUGAACAUAUUGACGGUACCUAAACAGAAAGCCACGGCUAACUCCGUG
rnacentral:rRNA from 1 species